rnacentral:rRNA from 1 species
CGAACGCUGGCGGCGUGCCUAAUACAUGCACGUCGAGCGGACUUUCAAGAAGCUUGCUUUUUGAAAGUUAGCGGCGGACGGGUGAGUAACACGUGGGCAACCUGCCUGCAAGACGGGGAUAACUCCGGGAAACCGGGGCUAAUACCGGAUAAUAUCUUCCUUCGCAUGAAGGAAGGUUGAAAGGCGGCGCAAGCUGCCGCUUGCAGAUGGGCCCGCGGCGCAUUAGCUAGUUGGUGAGGUAACGGCUCACCAAGGCGACGAUGCGUAGCCGACCUGAGAGGGUGAUCGGCCACACUGGGACUGAGACACGGCCCAGACUCCUACGGGAGGCAGCAGUAGGGAAUCUUCCGCAAUGGACGAAAGUCUGACGGAGCAACGCCGCGUGAGCGAAGAAGGUCUUCGGAUCGUAAAGCUCUGUUGUCAGGGAAGAACAAGUACCGUUCGAACAGGGCGGUACCUUGACGGUACCUGACCAGAAAGCCACGGCUAACUACGUG